UGGUCUGUUCACUUUGAUGCCAUUUUCAACCUUACCAAAUUUUGGUAAAGUUGUCAAAAAGUGGCUACAUUUAGUUUGCUGCCAAAUUUUUGUAACUAUAUAAGAAAUCCUACCAAAAUUUUGACAAGUUGUCAAAAUUUUGGCAACUAUGCCAAAAUUUUGAAAUGCCAAAAUUUGGUAAGGUUUUUUUUAUCAAAGUGAACAGGCCCCUUAUAUAGUUACCAAAAUUUGGCAGCAAACUAAAUGUAGCCAUUUUUUUUGACAACUUUAUCAAAAUUUAGUAAGAUUGAAAAUGACAUCAAAGUAAACAGGCCC
rnacentral:misc_RNA from 1 species